GCGGGCGUGGCGGAACUGGCAGACGCGCGGGACUUAGGAUCCCGUGGCCGCAAGGCCAUGCAGGUUCGAUUCCUGUCGCCCGCA
rnacentral:tRNA from 1 species